rnacentral:rRNA from 1 species
UACGAAGGGGGCUAGCGUUGCUCGGAAUCACUGGGCGUAAAGCGCACGUAGGCGGCUUUCUAAGUCAGGGGUGAAAUCCUGGAGCUCAACUCCAGAACUGCCUUUGAUACUGGAAAGCUUGAGUUCGGGAGAGGUGAGUGGAACUGCGAGUGUAGAGGUGAAAUUCGUAGAUAUUCGCAAGAACACCAGUGGCGAAGGCGGCUCACUGGCCCGAUACUGACGCUGAGUAGCGAAAGCGUGGGGA